rnacentral:rRNA from 1 species
GCCCGCUCAGAAACUUAAAGGAAUUGACGGGGCCCGCACAAGCGGUGGAGUAUGUGGUUUAAUUCGAUGCAACGCGAAGAACCUUACCUGGUCUUGACAUCCCGGAGACCCUUAGGAAACUAGGGGUGCUUCCAUCUGGAAGAAUCUGGAGACAGGUGCUGCAUGGCUGUCGUCAGCUCGUGUCGUGAGAUGUUGGGUUAAGUCCCGCAACGAGCGCAACCCUUGCCUUUAGUUGCCAGCAGUUCGGCUGGGCACUCUAAAGGGACUGCCGGUGUUAAACCGGAGGAAGGUGGGGAUGACGUCAAGUCCUCAUGGCCUUUAUGACCAGGGCUACACACGUACUACAAUGGCCGAUACAAAGGGCAGCGACACUGCGAGGUGAAGCCAAUCCCGUAAAAUCGGUCUCAGUCCGGAUUGGAGUCUGCAACUCGACUCCAUGAAGUUGGAAUCGCUAGUAAUCGUGGAUCAGCAUGCCACGGUGAAUACGUUCCCGGGCCUU